GUACUCUCACACUCUCUGAUCCUUUGGAUUUGGGGAGCGGUGGACUUGGGUGCUUGCUGCUUCCUUGUGGCUCACCUGAAAUGCAUCAGUGCAUCUCUCGAUUGGACAUAGUACGGCGUGAUAAGUGUCUUCGCCGGCACCUCAUAUGAGGGUGGCCGAUCGGGAGCUCUGUGCUUUCAAACCGUCUUCGGACAACGCUGACA
rnacentral:misc_RNA from 1 species